CCUACGGGUGGCAGCAGUGAGGAAUAUUGGUCAAUGGCCGAGAGGCUGAACCAGCCAAGUCGCGUGAGGGAAGACGGCCCGACGGGUUGUAAACCUCUUUUGUCGGGGAGCAAAGCGAACCACGUGUGGUUCAUUGAGAGUAACCGAAGAAAAAGCAUCGGCUAACUCCGGGCCAGCAGCCGCGGUAAUACGGAGGAUGCGAGCGUUAUCCGGCUUUAUUGGGUUAAAAGGGUGCGCAGGCGGAGGUGCAAGUCAGCGGUCAAAUUGCGGGGCUCAACCCCGUACUGCCGUUGAAACUGCAUCCCUUGAGUGCGCGAGAAGUAUGCGGAAUGCGUGGUGUAGCGGUGAAAUGCAUAGAUAUCACGCAGAACUCCGAUGGCGAAGGCAGCAUACCGGCGCGCAACUGACGCUCAUGCACGAAAGCGUGGGUAUCGAACAGGAUUAGAUACCCCGGUAGUC
rnacentral:rRNA from 1 species